UACGAAGGGGGCUAGCGUUGUUCGGAAUUACUGGGCGUAAAGGGCGUGUAGGCGGUCGAUUAAGUCAGGUGUGAAAUCCCUUGGCUCAACCAAGGAAGUGCAUCUGAAACUGAUCGACUUGAGUACGGGAGAGGAGAGUGGAAUUCCUGGUGUAGAGGUGAAAUUCGUAGAUAUCAGGAGGAACACCGGUGGCGAAGGCGACUCUCUGGACCGAUACUGACGCUGAGACGCGAAAGCGUGGGGAGCAAACAGG
rnacentral:rRNA from 1 species